rnacentral:rRNA from 1 species
GGCUCAGAAUGAACGUUGGCGGCGUGGAUUAGGCAUGCAAGUCGAGCGAGAAUCCCCGCAAGGGGAGGAAAGCGGCGAAGGGGAUAGUAACACGUAGGUACCUACCCCCGGGACUGGGAUAGCGGCGGGAAACUGCCAUUAAUACCAGAUAACGUCCCCGGACCAAAGGUGAGAUUCCGCCCGGGGAGGGGCCUGCGUCCUAUCAGCUAGUUGGUGGGGUAAUGGCUUACCAAGGCUAUGACGGGUAGCGGGUGUGAGAGCACGACCCGCAUCACUGGGACUGAGAUACUGCCCAGACACCUACGGGUGGCUGCAGUCGAGAAUCUUCCGCAAUGGGCGAAAGCCUGACGGAGCGACGCCGCGUGCGGGAUGAAGGCCUUCGGGUUGUAAACCGCUGUCAGUGGGGAGGAAAUGCACGGGGGUUCUCCCUCGUGUUUGACCGAUCCGCAGAGGAAGCACAGGCUAAGUUCGUGCCAGCAGCCGCGGUAACACGAACUGUGCAAACGUUAUUCGGAAUUACUGGGCUUAAAGAGUUCGUAGGCGGCUUGUUAAGUCGGGUGUGAAAUCCCUCGUCUCAACCGAGGAAUUGCGCCCGAAACUGGCGAGCUUGAGUGAGAUAGAGGUGAGCGGAACUGAUGGUGGAGCGGUGAAAUGCGUUGAUAUCAUCAGGAACACCGGUUGCGAAAGCGGCUCACUGGGUCUCUACUGACGCUGAGGAACGAAAGCUAGGGUAGCGAACGGGAUUAGAUACCCCGGUAGUCCUAGCUGUAAACGAUGAGCACUGGACUGAGCAGACCUCCACAUCUGCCCGGUCGUAGCGAAAGCGUUAAGUGCUCCGCCUGGGGAGUAUGGUCGCAAGGCUGAA